CCUACGGGGGGCAGCAGUAGGGAAUAUUGCUCAAUGGGGGAAACCCUGAAGCAGCAACGCCGCGUGGAGGAUGAAGGUUUUCGGAUUGUAAACUCCUUUUGUUAGAGAAGAAAAUGACGGUAUCUAACGAAUAAGCACCGGCCAACUCCGUGCCAGCAGCCGCGGUAAUACGGAGGGUGCAAGCGUUACUCGGAAGCACUGGGCGUAAAGGGCGCGUAGGCGGGAUAGAAAGUCAGAUGUGAAAUCCUAUGGCUUAACCAUAGAACUGCAUUUGAAACUGUUAUUCUAGAGUAUGGGAGAGGUAGGUGGAAUUCAUGGUGUAGCGGUGAAAUCCGUAGAGAUCAAGAGGAAUACUGAUUGCGAAGGCGGCCUACUAGAACAUAACUGACGCUGAUGCGCGAAAGCGUGGGGAGCAAACAGGAUUAGAUACCCCUGUAGUC
rnacentral:rRNA from 1 species